rnacentral:lncRNA from 1 species
AAAAAUUGGAAGUUACCAAGUUUUAAAUGGAGGGAAAAAGAUGUUGAUAGCUUUUAAGGAAACCAUUGGAUGGUUGAGGAAAGAAGCCUGGAAGCUCAGGGACUGGUUAGGGUGGGACAGUGGGAAAGAAAGUGGGUAGAAGAGAUGAGUAGAAGGACUUUGGCCUCUGAGCCUCAUCUGCCCUAGAUAUAAAAUAAGAUUGUUUAUUUUAAAUUAUGGCUACACGGAUUAAAUGAAAGAAUAUAAGGGAAAGGUCCAACAUAACGAAAUAGUACCAAGGUGGCUCUCAAAUGUUAGUUGAAUACAACUUUGAUGAACAAAAUUGUGAUACUGUUUUAUGAGACAGGGAAAAUGUGGAAGAGAAUUAAGCCUAGGAAUGAAGGCAAUAGUUCUUUGGGGGUGAGGAACUUAGCAAACACAGUUCUUAUAGUAAAGUUAGUGAUUUCAGCUCUAUCCACUGAUAAAAGACAUAAAAUAUUCCUUGUCCUCAAAGAUUAAAUCUAGUUGGAGACCUUACCAAUUAAUGGGAGCUCUGGGCUGUACAUACAUGGGCUGAGUCGUGCAGUCCCGAUAAUUCAGUACCAAAGUAGAAUAAAUUCAUUACAAGGCAAGUCCACAUUUAAUUUUUUAUGUAAGUGCUAAAAAUCAGAUUUUUCUGAGAUGGUUCCAAAAAGAUUAAAGCACAGUGUAAAAUAAUCUCUCUCUUUUUUUUUUACCAGGUAGCAUCUAGUACUAAUGAGUAUCGUCCAUUUGAGCUUGGAAGACAGCUUUUUUCAAUUCUACGUACUGAUUACAAAAGCAUUCUAAGGUUAAGGCAGUGAAAGGAACAGAGCUCCAACUUGAUCUGCUGUAAAAGGAGGUCUGAGCCAGCCUCUCGCAGAAAGAAAUUGCUAAUUGGGAAGCAGUGCCACCUGGUGGAGGAAGAGGCCCAUGCACGCAAGCAGAUGUCAUUUCCCACUGACCUAAUUUAUGGAAAAUUGAAUGGAAGACAGAAGACAUUUGAGAUUGUAAGCCUGUGCCCAAAAUCUUAAGGAAGGCAGGCAGCUGGCCAUAAAAGUAAUCUGAGCAGUCUCCUCUUUCAGCCUUUGCAAUCUAAGUUUGUGAUAAACAUCUUAAACGUGUGGAUGGUACGUGACGGUUUCCUUUGCACUUUCC